rnacentral:rRNA from 1 species
AGUGAACGCUGGCGGCGUGCUUAACACAUGCAAGUCGAACGAGAACGGAAUAUAGCUUGCUAUAUUUGUCAGCUAAGUGGCGCACGGGUGAGUAAUGUAUAGAUAACCUGCCCUUAAGAAAGGAAUAACAGUUGGAAACGACUGCUAAUGCCCUAUAUGCCUUUAAUACAUAAGUAUGCAAGGGAAACGCUUUAGUGCUUAAGGAUGGGUCUGUAUGGUAUCAGCUUGUUGGUGAGGUAAUGGCUCACCAAGGCUAUGACGCCUAACUGGUUUGAGCGGAUGAUCAGUCACACUGGAACUGAGACACGGUCCAGACUCCUACGGGAGGCAGCAGUGGGGAAUAUUGCACAAUGGACGAAAGUCUGAUGCAGCAACGCCGCGUGGAGGAUGACACAUUUCGGUGCGUAAACUCCUUUUAUAUAGGAAGAUAAUGACGGUACUAUAUGAAUAAGCACCGGCUAACUCCGUGCCAGCCGCCGCGGUAA